AACGCUAGCUACAGGCUUAACACAUGCAAGUCGAGGGGCAGCAUGGUCUUAGCUUGCUAAGGCCGAUGGCGACCGGCGCACGGGUGAGUAACACGUAUCCAACCUGCCGUCUACUCUUGGACAGCUUUCUGAAAGGAAGAUUAAUACAAGAUGGCAUCAUGAGUCCGCAUGUUCACAUGAUUAAAGGUAUUCCGGUAGACGAUGGGGAUGCGUUCCAUUAGAUAGUAGGCGGGGUAACGGCCCACCUAGUCUUCGAUGGAUAGGGGUUCUGAGAGGAAGGUCCCCCACAUUGGAACUGAGACACGGUCCAAACUCCUACGGGAGGCAGCAGUGAGGAAUAUUGGUCAAUGGGCGCAGGCCUGAACCAGCCAAGUAGCGUGAAGGAUGACUGCCCUAUGGGUUGUAAACUUCUUUUAUAAAGGAAUAAAGUCGGGUAUGGAUACCCGUUUGCAUGUACUUUAUGAAUAAGGAUCGGCUAACUCCGUGCCAGCAGCCGCGGUAAUACGGAGGAUCCGAGCGUUAUCCGGAUUUAUUGGGUUUAAAGGGAGCGUAGAUGGAUGUUUAAGUCAGUUGUGAAAGUUUGCAGCUCAACCGUAAAAUUGCAGUUGAUACUGGAUAUCUUGAGUGCAGUUGAGGCAGGCGGAAUUCGUGGUGUAGCGGUGAAAUGCUUAGAUAUCACGAAGAACUCCGAUUGCGAAGGCAGCCUGCUAAGCUGCAACUGACAUUGAGGCUCGAAAGUGUGGGUAUCAAACAGGAUUAGAUACCCUGGUAGUCCACACGGUAAACGAUGAAUACUCGCUGUUUGCGAUAUACAGCAAGCGGCCAAGCGAAAGCGUUAAGUAUUCCACCUGGGGAGUACGCCGGCAACGGUGAAACUCAAAGGAAUUGACGGGGGCCCGCACAAGCGGAGGAACAUGUGGUUUAAUUCGAUGAUACGCGAGGAACCUUACCCGGGCUUAAAUUGCAGAUGAAUUACGGUGAAAGCCGUAAGCCGCAAGGCAUCUGUGAAGGUGCUGCAUGGUUGUCGUCAACUCGUGCCGUGAGGUGUCGGCUUAAGUGCCAUAACGAGCGCAACCCUUGUUGUCAGUUACUAACAGGUUCCGCUGAGGACUCUGACAAGACUGCCAUCGUAAGAUGUGAGGAAGGUGGGGAUGACGUCAAAUCAGCACGGCCCUUACGUCCGGGGCUACACACGUGUUACAAUGGGGGGUACAGAGGGCCGCUACCACGCGAGUGGAUGCCAAUCCCCAAAACCUCUCUCAGUUCGGACUGGAGUCUGCAACCCGACUCCACGAAGCUGGAUUCGCUAGUAAUCGCGCAUCAGCCACGGCGCGGUGAAUACGUUCCCGGGCCUUGUACACACCGCCCGUCAAGCCAUGGGAGCCGGGGGUACCUGAAGUGCGUAACCGCGAGGAGCGCCCUAGGGUAAAACUGG
rnacentral:rRNA from 1 species